GACAGAGGGUGCAAACGUUGUUCGGAAUUACUGGGCGUAAAGCGUGCGCAGGCGGUUGUGCAAGACAGAUGUGAAAUCCCCGGGCUCAACCUGGGAAUUGCAUUUGUGACUGCACGGCUAGAGUGUGUCAGAGGGGGGUAGAAUUCCACGUGUAGCAGUGAAAUGCGUAGAGAUGUGGAGGAACACCGAUGGCGAAGGCAGCCCCCUGGGCUGAGAUUGACGCUCAGGCACGAAAGCGUGGGGAGCAAACAGG
rnacentral:rRNA from 1 species